rnacentral:rRNA from 1 species
GACGAACGCUGGCGGCGUGCUUAAAAACAUGCAAGUCGAACGGACUUCUCAUGAAGCUUGCGAUUGAGAAGUUAGUGGCGGACGGGUGAGUAACGCGUGGGCAACCUGCCCCUGAGCCCGGGAUAACAGUUCGAAAGGACUGCUAAGACCGGAUAUACUUGCGGUGAAGCAUUUCACUGCAAGGAAAGGGAACGCUCAGGGGAUGGGCCCGCGUCCCAUUAGCUAGUUGGUGAGGUAACGGCCCACCAAGGCGACGAUGGGUAGCCGGCCUGAGAGGGUGAACGGCCACACUGGGACUGAGACACGGCCCAGACUCCUACGGGAGGCAGCAGUUGGGAAUCUUCGGCAAUGGGCGCAAGCCUGACCGAGCAACGCCGCGUGAGUGAUGAAGGUUUUCGGAUUGUAAAGCUCUGUCUUCCGGGACGAUAAUGACGGUACCGGAGGAGGAAGCCACGGCUAACUACGUGCCAGCAGCCGCGGUAAGCACGAGAGUA